CCGACGUCUGCGUUCGAUUGAAGCCCAUAAGUUAUCCAGUGGGCUGCUCCCCACUUGCCAUCCUCUCAACGUCCCCCUCGGGAGAUAGUCUAGAGCAAAACUCGUACUCUGGCGCACCGUGCUUGUUAAAUUACCUUCCCUCACCCAUGGCGUCCUGCUGGCAGUCGGAACCUUGCUCCUCGCCCGCCACUGCUAAUGACCGUUUUGGAUGGCGGUGAGCGAGGAUAACGUCCGAGGCAGUUUUGCCAAAAGAUCAGAUGCUUCUGAGCAACCAUCCUUCCACGGCUGUGGCCGUUUGCACGCCGGCCGGCAACUGGGCAUCCAAGUCUGAGUGUGGCCACUAACCCCAGGACCUGCGUAGCAACAUCUCGUCACGGCGAGCGUCGUCUCUGCGAGCUUCGCAUCGAGCGUCCUAAACGCUCAUCAGGUGGUCUUUGUGCAUAUUGUAGAUGGUCUAGCUGGCGAGGGUGGCGCACGCCUUAGGGAAGUUAACUGUUUUUUAAUUUUGUAAUGUAUAACUACAUUACAAAAUUGCUUAGCUGUAAGCCCGAGGUUUCGUGGGCAUGGCUUGCGGCCACAUGGGUCUUCUCCGUGCCGGAAUCGAAGAGGACGGGCCACGUAUUGCGGGGUGGCGGCGUAUAGCUUCAGGUUUUAACGGCUUAGCUCGUACUGCGCAGGCUACAGCUGAUAGCCGUCCUCUACGAGUGCGUCAGGGACAUGGACCCUUCCGAAUGACCUUGCGACCCGACCCCACCAUUUCGUGACAAGGUAGCCCGGGCGCGUCAGUGCUAUCGAGCGAAAUGUGGAAUCACGGAAGCAAACGCCAUUCGGAAAUUGCCUCGCCAGCUAUUAGCUAUUGCGGCGACCUUACGUCGCCCACGGUCUGGAGCGGAGCCCGGCCGUGCAGCAGCUACGGUGAGUGGUCCAUUUCUUUGCGGUUCCCGCUGUUCUUUUCCGGUUGUUUACUUUCCUCCUUGCGUCGCAGAUGAUGACCUUGAUCACCGCUCGUGCCGUCACCGACAGUCUCAACGCUUUUGCAUUCCCUCGCCCGGCAC